GUUUUUUAGGAAGCCAGGCUCCUCCAGUGGCAGGAAGCUUCCAGGACCUGGAGAAUUGGGGCAGAGCAAGAUCGUCACAGGAUCAUCUAAAGUGAGAGGAAAUGGAGAGCAAGGGUUACUUACAUGCUUCAAAACUGGUUACAACCAGCCAGAUGUGGCAGAGAACUGGGCCUGUGAGGUUAUAUAAGAAGUCCAGGAGCAUGAGGCUGUCUUGUAUCUCCAGCUCCCACAGAACAAACGACAACCUCACAUCGUAAGUAAACAAGCAGAAACCUAAUUUAGGAGUGCAUUUUUUUUUAACAAAAGCCAGGUUUCAGCCAGUCACAGGUAGCCAGCUGAUCACACCAUGCCCAAAUAAGGCAAAUGCCAAGCCAGCCAAUCCCAGGACCUCUCUGCCUUGCAUCCAUUCUCAGCCUGAAGGAGCUCCCUAUCCUGCUGCCAGGUGGGGCUCUCUGAUCCUCUUCAGGUCUGAGUGCAUCCCGAUUUAUCAAUUCAUUGUUCAAAUAAACUCCAUUAAAUGCAAUUUCUCUCAUUUUUCUUUCAACAGGCCACAGAAGACACAAUUGUGCUGCUUCUGCUAAGGAGAGCUUGGAUCCACCUUGUCUCUGGGAACACACAUUUCCCCUUCCACUGCAGGCCCCAGCCAACAGAGAUAUGCUAUGGAAUACAACAUAAAGCCUUCAUGUAUUUUAAAACACAGUCGGAGACGGACGGAACUCAUACUUGUCACCAGCUGCUUAGAGCUCUUCCUUGUGAGGGCCCUUACAUCCCUGGCCUUCAGGACGAGUGGUGGGAAAGCUCCGGAAGCAGAGGACACCUCAUGAAUUCAUCAGUUGCAGUUUGCCUUGCUGCGAGCCCCAAGUUCCCAGCUGAGCCUAGAGCAGCUAUAAAACUCCUCUGCCCAGCCUCGCCCUGGGAAGUUGUGACCCAGGCACUCACCUCUGGGGCAGCAGAAGUCAGUGGGACAGGGGUGCCCACUGUAGUUGGUGACAUUCUCGGGGCAGUAGUAGCCGGCAGGGCAAGGGAAGCAGGAGGCCUGGCCUGUGAGGCAGCUGUAAGAGCUGCAGGGCAGGGCUUCGGGAGGCUGGUUCCCCUGGGGCAGAAGUGGCCUCGGGGACAGGGCCCCGCUGCCCUGAGUGGCCUGAGGGAGGAAGAAAGCUGAGUGAGGAGUGUGCACCCCAGUCCCAGCAGAGCAUGCCAGAGCUGAGGGCAGCUUGUGCCCUCGCACCAAGACCAAAUGUGGACUCUAGUUUGGGUCAGAGAUUUGUUUUUGAGAGAAGUAAUGCCCUCAGAAAAUCCCUCUUUGGUAGGUGGGCAAGAGCAGCGAUUUGUUUUACUGAGGAUGGAGUCCUGAGAUGUUAGUGGGGAAGCCAGGGUCUCCCCAGACUCUGCCUCAGCUCAGCUGGGUUUCCAGACAUCCCUCUCCAUGCUCUUUCUAGGACACACAGUGAUUGUGCACUCUUCAGUAAAACAGGCUGAGACCAGGGCUUUCUCACUGACUUGUACUGAGCCAGGCCAGCUGCUUCUGUUUUGGUCUUUUUUCCUUGCUCGGCAGCCUGAGCCGGGGCUUGGCUCUGGCUCUCCAGCUCUCACCCAUGAUGCCCCAGAACUCAACCUUUCAUUUGAGAGCUGAACUCUCACUUCCAACGUUCUUUGAAUAAUGGAAGUGUCAGAGCAGAGGGAUUCAAGGGUCCUGGCCAAGGCUCAGCUGCUGUCUGCCUGUCACAUGUUCCUGAGGACCCAGAGACUCCAGACGGCCCCCUGACCACUGCAGAUGGCCACACAGAGGGCGUCCUCAGGAAGAUGGUCAGCAGGCUAGAGGGAGCAGACAUCCUGAAUGCUGACCUCCAGGGCCUAAUGCACUGCCCCUCCCCCAACCUGUGCGUCCAGGGGGAGUAUAGAGGGUCUGCUCUGGGAGUGUUGGCCUUGGCCCCUACCUCCCCAAGGGAGCCAAGGCCCACGAUCAACUCAGCCUCCAAGUGGCCCAUGGGGCACCAUUUCGGUGUCCAGUGACUGCAACCCCAUCCUCCUUCACACCGGUCCUCUCUGUUCAUCUCCCAGCAAACCUGUGGUGGAUUCAGCAGGUCUAGGUAAGGCAGAGGUGGGUUGGGAGGCUGCAGGUGUGACUGUGAGCAGACACGAGGGCAGCCAGACCAUGGCAC
rnacentral:lncRNA from 13 species